AAAAAAAAAAAUCCUGUAGCAGGGAGCCCUGUAAACACAAUAUCCGCUUUCCUCUGCAGGGUUGCAACUGUAACAGCUGUGUGUGAUUCUAAUUAGAUCUCCAGCACCCAGGUCCACAGAAUGGAGAAGGUUGUCCCCCUCAAAAUGGGUCCUGAUUGAUGGGGGGCUGAUAGUCUGGCUGCUUUUAUUUCUGGUUUGUAAUGUGCAGAGAUCGCUCCCUUUCCUUCUUCC